AUUAACGCGAAGAACCUUACCAGGUCUUGACAUCCUCUGACAAUCCUAGAGAUAGGACGUCCCCUUCGGGGGCAGAGUGACAGGUGGUGCAUGGUUGUCGACAGCUCGUGUCGUGAGAUGUUGGGUUAAGUCCCGCAACGAGCGCAACCCUUGAUCUUAGUUGCCAGCAUUCAGUUGGGCACUCUAAGGUGACUGCCGGUGACAAACCGGAGGAAGGUGGGGAUGACGUCAAAUCAUCAUGCCCCUUAUGACCUGGGCUACACACGUGCUACAAUGGACAGAACAAAGGGCAGCGAAACCGCGAGGUUAAGCCAAUCCCACAAAUCUGUUCUCAGUUCGGAUCGCAGUCUGCAACUCGACUGCGUGAAGCUGGA
rnacentral:rRNA from 1 species